CUUUUAAAAUGAGGAGAUCUGGCAACCAGGGACUCUACAUUUCAGGAGAAGAGCAUGUGGCUGGGGCCUCCUUGAGACAGAAUACGUCUCUCUACCGGAUUAGAUCCCCACCUGGUCAUUCAGCUAAACUGCAUAGCCCCUGGAAGCCUAUGCAUCUGUGACCCUGUGGAUAGAGGCUGUCUGCUUCCAGAGCAGGAGAAAGGGAAAUGGAUUUUUAGGGACAGAGAACAGCACUAUGGGAAAGGCCAUGUUUAAAGGAGGUCCAAAUAUUUGACUGACGGUCAUUUGUAUGACCUGUACAAACUUGCACUGCCUUUAGCCCCCAGAGAAAAGACUUGCCAUCCUGAUAGUCAGUGACAGCUGCAGUCUGACAAGUGGCAGGAACAUGAAAACAGCUGCAAGCCAUGCCCAAGCCUGCACUCACCACAUCCUGCUGAUAGGAGGGAGGUGGUGCUGGCCCUCCUGUCCCUCUCCUCUCACAGGGCUGGCAGUAGCUUGUGGUGACUGCAGGAAUUUAGAAAGUCCCUUAGCUGGGUCAGAAAUGUAGCGCUUCUCCUGAGGCCAAAGGCAUCUUCACCAUCUUCUUUAUCCCAUGUGUCAGGGGAUCUUAUGCAAUAUGGAACCCUGCUCACCCAAGCUUACUGCACUCUGCUCUUGGAGGCCUCCCUUUGGAGAAUUCCUAACACGACUCUACCUGCCAACCUCCCAGGCUAACCUAUCAACCACAAUUUCCUCUGGGUAGCCAACCCCACAGAAAUGAGCCUCCUCAUUUUAAAGGGCUCAUACAAUUAGAAGUUCUGCUCCAUUCCAGCUAAGAUUCCAGUGAAAAGAAACAUUCUGCUCCUAAAUGUUUCAACAACAGCAUGUACCAAAGAACAGUAUGUUCCCUAUAUACCCCGAGUGAGUAAGCCCCAACAGGCUCACAGAAAGACCAGAUAAUUCUCCAUGACCUAAGCCAACAAGGGUUACAUAGACCAGGAGCUAGAGCAUGACAAUGGCAGAGGAAUAGUUACCAAACCUUGCGUUCGCUCGGGGUGGCCAACCCAUAGCCAAAAACAUGUCAGAACUCCUACAUCCCUGCCAUAUUUGAAAAAGAAUAUAGUAUCAAAAAGUGUUAAAAAUGUCUUUGUGGAGUGUCCUUGGGGCGUAGGGGCCGACCGCACGCAGUCGCGCAGCGCUGCCUCCGCCUGCCAGUCUCUCCCGCGAUCCCGGCCCGGGGCUGUGGCGUCGACUCCGACCCAGGCAGCCAGCAGCCCGCGCGGGAGCCGGACCGCCGCUGGAGGAGCUCGGACGGCAGGCUGAGCACCCCCGUUCCUUGGCUGAAGCCCGAGUGCGGAGAAGCCCGGGCAAACGCAGGCUAAGGAGACCAAAGCGGCGAAGUCGCGAGACAGCGGACAAGCAGCGGAGAAGGAGGAGGUGAACCCAGAGAGGGGCAGCAAAAGAAGCGGUGGUGAUGGGCGUCGUGGCCAUGGCGGCGGCUAUCGCCAGCUCGCUCAUCCGUCAGAAGAGGCAAGCCCGCGAGUGCAAGAAAUCCAACGCCUGCAAGUGCAGCCCCAGCAAAGGCAAGACCAGCUGCGACAAAAACAAGUUAAAUGUCUUUUCCCGGGUCAAACUCUUGGGCUCCAAGAAGAGGCCCCGAAGAAGACCAGAGCCUCAGCUUAAGGGUAUAGUUACCAAGCUAUACAGCCGACAAGGCUACCACUUGCAGCUGCAGGCGGAUGGAACCAUUGAUGGCACCAAAGAUGAGGACAGCACUUACACUCUGUUUAACCUCAUCCCUGUGGGUCUGCGAGUGGUGGCUAUCCAAGGAGUUCAAACCAAGCUGUACUUGGCAAUGAACAGUGAGGGAUCCUUGUACACUUCGGAACUUUUCACACCUGAGUGCAAAUUCAAAGAAUCAGUGUUUGAAAAUUAUUAUGUGACAUAUUCAUCAAUGAUAUACCGUCAGCAGCAGUCAGGCCGAGGGUGGUAUCUGGGUCUGAACAAAGAAGGAGAGAUCAUGAAAGGCAACCAUGUGAAGAAGAACAAGCCUGCAGCUCAUUUUCUGCCCAAACCACUAAAAGUGGCCAUGUACAAGGAGCCAUCACUGCACGACCUCACGGAGUUCUCCCGAUCUGGAAGCGGGACCCCAACCAAGAGCAGAAGUGUCUCUGGCGUGCUGAACGGAGGCAAAUCCAUGAGCCACAAUGAAUCAACGUAGCCAGUGAGGGAAAAAGAAGGGCUCUGUAACAGAACCUUACCUCCAGGUGCUGUUGAAUUCUUCUAGCAGUCCUUCGCCCAAAAGUUCAAAUUUGUCAGUGACAUUUACCAAACAAACAGGCAGAGUUCACUAUUCUAUCUGCCAUUAGACCUUCUUAUCAUCCAUACUAAAGCCCCAUUAUUUAGAUUGAGCUUGUGCAAAAGAAUGCCAAGCAUUUCAGUGAACUAAAUCUGGGAGGACGACUGCCAAAUUUUCUCAUGAUCUCACCUGUACUUUGGGGAUGAUAAUCCAAAAAGAUUUUACAGCACUAAUGCUGAUCAAAAUUUGCUCUCCCACCAAGAAAAUUUCAAAGACCACAAUUGUUCUUCAAAAACAAACAAAACAAAACAUAACAAAAUUAACUGCUUAAAUGUAUUGUCUGGGCAAACAAAAUUAUGUGAAUUGUGUUGUUUUCUUGGCUUGAUGUUUUCUCUCUACACUUGAUUCACAUGUACUCUUUUCUUUGGCAUAGUGCAACUUUAUGAUUUCUGAAAUUCAAUGGUUCUAUUGACUUUUUGCGUCACUUAAUCCAAAUCAACCAAAUUCAGGGUUGAAUCUGAAUUGCCUUCUCAGGCUCAAGGUAACAGUGUUCUUGUGAUUUUACCGAUUUUUUUUUCUUUUUUUUUUUUUUUAGAUUUGUAGUAUUCUGGUCAAGUUAUCGUGCUGUACUUUGUGUGUAGAAAUUGAGUUGUGUUGUCAACCCCAGUCAGUUAAGAUAUCUUCAAAAAAUUAUCCUCAAGUGUAGAUUUCUCUUAAUUCCAUUUGUGUAUCAUGUUAAACUAUUGCUGUGGCUUCUUGUGUAAAGACGGGAACUGUGGAACUGUGAUGUUGUCUUUUGUGUUGUUAAAACAAGAAAUGUCUUACCUGUAUAUGUAUGAGUCCUCCUGUCAUUGUAUUUGGCAUAUGAAUAUUGUGUGCAAGGAAUUGUUAAGACUGGUUUUCCCUCAACAACAUAUAUUAUACUUGCUACUGGAAAAGUGUUUAAGACUUAGCUAGGUUUCCAUUUAGAUCUUCGUAUCUGUUGCAUGGAAGAAAGUUGGGUUCUUGGCAUAGAGUUGCAUGAUAUGUAAGAUUUGUGCAUUAAUAGUUGUUAAAAAUCUGUAUUCUAAAAGUGGACAUAGCAUGUACAGGCAGUUUUCUGUCCUGUGCACAAAAAGUUUUAAAAAGUUGUUUAAUAUUUGUUGUUGUAUACCCAAAUACGCACCGAAUAAACUCUUUAUAUUCAUUCAAAAAAAAAAA